GUGUUCUGCAGGAGACAUAAAGCUUCAUCAAAGACGAAUACCCAUCCAGAAGAAUUAUCAGAAUAAGGAAUGCACACUCCUUAUACCUCUUGGAGACUGAGAAUGAUAUAGGCAAGUUCUUGAAGGAUGAAGCGUCGAACAUCUCCAUAAACCUCUGAUCCGAAACUCUUGCUUUGGCUGCUGCAAACCGCUGGUACUCAUCGAAAACAGAAGUCAGGCACCAUCUCUGUGAUUUUCUCAAGCACCCAACGAGGCAACCAGUUCGGUGCUGAAUGAAGUGACCACAUCCAAUAACAAGUUAGUACUUACAUCUGCAACUUUGUAGCUACCUAGUUUAGUCUAUAGAGAAUGUACAUAUAUUACCUUUCCUCGUUUGCAAUGAAUCAGUAGAGGAUGAUUCUUGACA